CUACCCUGGAGCCCUGCUCUGUGAUGGGCCCCGUCCUCGCGGACGGGCCCGAAACCCGUGGGCGCCGUCGUCCGGCCCUGAGCGUAGCAAGAGAAAUCCCUCGCUCGGAGUGCCUGCCGCCGGCCGCCCCGAAACCCAUUUUUUUAA
rnacentral:misc_RNA from 1 species